GUACUAAUCUGUCAGGGGAGACACCAUGAUCGAUCAGGUGGUUUUCCCAGGGCAGGUGAUUGUCUCUGAUGUGUCCACCAUCCGAGGUCUAUAUUGAGCAGAUUCUUUUUGGUGUUGGGUGGUGGAACCGGAGCUUGCUCCAUCCACUC
rnacentral:snRNA from 1 species